rnacentral:lncRNA from 1 species
CUCGUGUACAGCUGUUCUGGCCCUGCUCUGCCUGUGGGCCUCAGCCAGCGAUCCUGAGCUGCAAUCUGCAUCAGAGCAUGUGCCCUCAGCAGGGAUUUUUCUCAUUAACUGAUGCUGAAGUUCUGUUUCCUAUGGAGAGUGCCAGCAUGAGCAACGAGGGGCCAGAGAAUCCCAUCGCAUCUACACUGACCGAGGGCAUGAAGAGGAAGAGGGGGAGACCAAAGAAGAAGCCACAGGAGGAUGGUGGAAACACAGCUGUUAUCCCACAGGAUGGUGUGGAACCACAGCCAGUGAAGAAACCACGAGGAAGGCCAAAAGGAAGCAAGAAACUGACUACUAUAACUGGGGGAAUGAAAGAUCCUUCUGCUGGGAAAAGGCCAAGAGGGAGACCCCGCAAGUGGCCUCAAGCAGUGGUCCAAGAAGGAGAAUCUGAGGGUGGGAAUCCUCUGGAAAGCAGUGACUCGAAUUUGAACUCUGCACCAGCCACACAAGGUUUGAAAUUAAAUAAUUAUAAUUACACGAGACUAAACAGUGGAGCCAGCGCUCUGGCCAACCAUGCACAAGGCUCUAGCACUGGCUGCAAUCGUUCUGGUAAAUCCCAUAAACAGAGGAGCAUUUGGAAAGUUUUUCUUCCAUCUAAUUCAGUUGUGACUGCUUCAGCAGAAGUGGAGGUAGGAAAAAAGAAGAAAAUCUGUCUGUCUGUCUUUCCAAGAAGUCACACAUCUGAGGUUCUGGUUGCUGGUAGAGGUACAGCUCAGUGA